UACGGAGGAUCCGAGCGUUAUCCGGAUUUAUUGGGUUUAAAGGGAGCGUAGGCGGCAUAUUAAGUCAGGGGUGAAAGACGGUGGCUCAACCAUCGCAGUGCCUUUGAUACUGAUGUGCUGGAAUGUAGCUGAGGUAGGCGGAAUGUGACAAGUAGCGGUGAAAUGCAUAGAUAUGUCACAGAACACCGAUUGCGAAGGCAGCUUACCAAACUAUGAUUGACGCUGAGGCUCGAAAGCGUGGGGAUCGAACAGG
rnacentral:rRNA from 1 species